GGAACGUCAAUAGAAGAGCAUCUGGUUGCAUUGUGUUACUAUGUUUUGUUAAGUAGGUCUGCAUCUUAUUAAGCUGUGUUUUCUGUACGCUGCUCUGCAUUUCAUUAAGUUGUGCUCCUUCUCUUGUGCUGCUCGACCCCCCCACCCCCCUCUGUACCACACUGUGUUAUUUUUACACCGUUCAAAACAAAUUCAUAAAUUUCCCAUAAGGACUGCAAGUCCAGCCCAAAG